rnacentral:rRNA from 1 species
CCCGCAACGAGCGCAACCCUUGUCAUUAGUUGCUACGAAAGAGCACUCUAAUGAGACUGCCGGUGACAAACCGGAGGAAGGUGGGGAUGACGUCAAGUCCUCAUGGCCCUUAUGGGUAGGGCUUCACACGUCAUACAAUGGUACAUACAGAGGGCCGCCAACCCGCGAGGGGGAGCUAAUCCCAGAAAGUGUAUCGUAGUCCGGAUUGUAGUCUGCAACUCGAC